GGCGCCGGGGCUAUUUCCAUUUUCCGUUCUUUCUUUUCUCCCCUCGAUCUGCAUAACCACGCGACUCUCCGCUUCAACGACCAGCUCGGGGACGCAAAGGAGAAGAAAAAGAGAAAAAAUAGAAUUUUAAAACAUGAUAAAAAUUCUAUCAAAACUAAUCAUUAAGUUACGAUUACGAUUCGGAUAACUGACAAGACCCAAUUUUGACCUGACCGCUAGAGGAGCCUUUUUCAACAUUUUCAUUAAAUCCGGGACAAAACUCACUCACGAGCUGUGGAAAAGAAUCCCACCACUGGACUUGUUUUGACUCAUCAUGCACUCUAUUAUUCAGUCUGGUGCAGGAGGGGGCUGAAGUGAUGCCAAAUGCCCGCUUACCAAUACAGGCAAUAUUUGCGUAGCUUGAUUGUUCGAGAAAAAGAGCAGCAGAAAAUUUGAACUUGCCUUUCGGCCCUUGGCGAAGU
rnacentral:sRNA from 1 species